CGGAGGGUGCAAGCGUUAUCCGGAUUUACUGGGUUUAAAGGGAGCGCAGGCGGAUUAGUAAGUCAGUGGUGAAAGCCUUGAGCUUAACUCGAGAACUGCCAUUGAUACUAUUAGUCUUGAAUGUUGUUGAGGUUUGCGGAAUGGGUCAUGUAGCGGUGAAAUGCAUAGAUAUGACCCGGAACACCUAUUGCGAAGGCAGCAGGCUAAACAAAUAUUGACGCUGAGGCUCGAAAGCGUGGGGAUCAAACAGGAUUAGAUACCCUGGUAGUCCACGCCCUAAACUAUGAUCACUCGACAUACGUGAUAUGACAAUGUGUGUCUGAGCGAAAGCAUUAAGUAAUCCACCUGGGAAGUACGACCGCAAGGUUG
rnacentral:rRNA from 1 species